rnacentral:rRNA from 1 species
UACGAAGGGUGCAAGCGUUACUCGGAAUUAUUGGGCCUAAAGCAUCCGUAGCCGGUUCUACAAGUCUUCCGUUAAAUCCACCUGCUUAACAGAUGGGCUGCGGAAGAUACUAUGGAGCUAGGAGGCGGGAGAGGCAAGCGGUACUCGAUGGGUAGGGGUAAAAUCCGUUGAUCCAUUGAAGACCACCAGUGGCGAAGGCGGCUUGCCAGAACGCGCUCGACGGUGAGGGAUGAAAGCUGGGGGAGCAAACCGG